UACGUAGGGUCCAAGCGUUAUCCGGAAUCACUGGGCGUAAAGCGUGCGUAGGUGGCGCGUUAAGUGAGAUGUUAAAACGUGGGGCUCAACCCUGUCGGUGCAUCUCAUACUGGCGUGCUAGAGGACAGCAGAGGCAAGUGGAAUUUGUAGUGUAGCAGUGAAAUGCGUAGAUAUUACAAGGAACACCAAUGGCGAAGGCAGCUUGCUGGGCUACUCCUGACACUGAGGUACGAAGGCGUGGGGAGCGAACAGG
rnacentral:rRNA from 1 species